GGAGGUAUGGCUCAAGAGGUAGAGCACCUGCCUAGCAAGUGUGAGUCCCUGUGUUCAAACCCCAGUACUGCUA
rnacentral:tRNA from 1 species